CUGGAACCAGUUGAUUUAUGACCAUGCCCUUGCUGUCUGUAUUAAGCCUUUUAUAAGUGCAGGGGCUGAUGAUAAUGCUGAGGUCCGUGGCCUGGUGGUGUUUGUCUUGGGAGUUCUCCGCGGUGUGUUGUAAAGAGCAGACAAUAAAAAGUAACUGAACAUACAAGCAUCCUCAGAGCCCAGAUGAUCAGGAAAACAAAUGGUUAAGAGAUACAAACAACAUGCGAUUCAGUUGAAGAAAACUGAAUAAAUUCCGAUUUAGUCAAAUAGAAUAAGCUGAUAAAUCCUGCAGCUCUUUGACAUGCCUCCAAGUUAGACCAUCAAUACCAAAGCAC
ensembl:lncRNA